UACGUAGGGAGCAAGCGUUGUCCGGAAUCAUUGGGCGUAAAGCGCGCGUAGGUGGCCUCGUAAGUCCGCUGUGAAAGUCAAAGGCUCAACCCUUUGAAAGCCGGUGGAUACUGUGGGGCUAGAGUACGGAAGAGGCGAGUGGAAUUCCUGGUGUAGCGGUGGAAUGCGCAGAUAUCAGGAGGAACACCAAUAGCGCAAGGCAGCUCGCUGGGACGUAACUGACACUGAGGCGCGAAAGCGUGGGGAGCGAACAGG
rnacentral:rRNA from 1 species